rnacentral:rRNA from 1 species
CACGUAGGGCGCGAGCGUUUUCCGGAAUUAUUGGGCGUAAAGCGCUCGUAGGCGGCCUGUUGCGUCUGCUGUGAAAUCCCGGGGCUUAACCCCGGGCGUGCAGUGGAUACGGGCAGGCUGGAGGCAGGCAGGGGAGAAUGGAAUUCCCGGUGUAGCGGUGAAAUGCGCAGAUAUCGGGAGGAACACCGGUGGCGAAGGCGGUUCUCUGGGCCUGUUCUGACGCUGAGGAGCGAAAGCGUGGGGAGCGAACAGG